GACGAACGCUGUCGGUGUGCUUAACACAUGCAAGUCGAACGGAAAGGCCCUGCUUUUGUGGGGUGCUCGAGUGACGAACGGGUGAGUAACACGUGAGUAACCUGCCCUUGACUUUGGGAUAACUUCAGGAAACUGGGGCUAAUACCGGAUAGGAGCUCCUGCUGCAUGGUGGGGGUUGGAAAGUUUCGGCGGUUGGGGAUGGACUCGCGGCUUAUCAGCUUGUUGGUGGGGUAGUGGCUUACCAAGGCUUUGACGGGUAGCCGGCCUGAGAGGGUGACCGGCCACAUUGGGACUGAGAUACGGCCCAGACUCCUACGGGAGGCAGCAGUGGGGAAUAUUGCACAAUGGGCGGAAGCCUGAUGCAGCAACGCCGCGUGCGGGAUGACGGCCUUCGGGUUGUAAACCGCUUUCGCCUGUGACGAAGCGUGAGUGACGGUAAUGGGUAAAGAAGCACCGGCUAACUACGUGCCAGCAGCCGCGGUGAUACGUANGGUGCGAGCGUUGUCCGGAUUUAUUGGGCGUAAAGGGCUCGUAGGUGGUUGAUCGCGUCGGAAGUGUAAUCUUGGGGCUUAACCCUGAGCGUGCUUUCGAUACGGGUUGACUUGAGGAAGGUAGGGGAGAAUGGAAUUCCUGGUGGAGCGGUGGAAUGCGCAGAUAUCAGGAGGAACACCAGUGGCGAAGGCGGUUCUCUGGGCCUUUCCUGACGCUGAGGAGCGAAAGCGUGGGGAGCGAACAGGCUUAGAUACCCUGGUAGUCCACGCUGUAAACGGUGGGUACUAGGUGUGGGGUCCAUUCCACGGGUUCCGUGCCGUAGCUAACGCUUUAAGUACCCCGCCUGGGGAGUACGGCCGCAAGGCUAAAACUCAAAGGAAUUGACGGGGCCCCGCACAAGCGGCGGAGCAUGCGGAUUAAUUCGAUGCAACGCGUAGAACCUUACCUGGGUUUGACAUGGAUCGGGAGUGCUCAGAGAUGGGUGUGCCUCUUUUGGGGUCGGUUCACAGGUGGUGCAUGGCUGUCGUCAGCUCGUGUCGUGAGAUGUUGGGUUAAGUCCCGCAACGAGCGCAACCCUUGUUCACUGUUGCCAGCACGUUAUGGUGGGGACUCAGUGGAGACCGCCGGGGUCAACUCGGAGGAAGGUGGGGAUGACGUCAAGUCAUCAUGCCCCUUAUGUCCAGGGCUUCACGCAUGCUACAAUGGCUGGUACAGAGAGUGGCGAGCCUGUGAGGGUGAGCGAAUCUCGGAAAGCCGGUCUCAGUUCGGAUUGGGGUCUGCAACUCGACCUCAUGAAGUCGGAGUCGCUAGUAACCGCAGAUCAGCAACGCUGCGGUGAAUACGUUCCCGGG
rnacentral:rRNA from 1 species